AACCCAUGUUGAGGACAUUUCUGCGGGAAGUCCUUGAACCUAACAUGUCUCAAAUAAAGACUCCAAUUCGGUUUGCACAAAUGAAGAUAUUUCAUUCCUAAAUUU